rnacentral:tRNA from 1 species
GGGGAUGUAGUUAACAAUAACAUUUAACUUGCAAUUAAAAAGUACUAAUAGUCUUCCUCA